rnacentral:rRNA from 1 species
ACUCCUACGGGAGGCAGCAGUAGGUAAUCUCCGCAAUGCACGAAAGUCUGACGGAGCACAGCCGCGUGAGUCAUGAAGCCUUUCGGGUCGUAAAACUCUGUUGUUAGGGAAGAACAAGUACGAGAGUACCUGCUGAUACAUUGACGGUACCUAGCCAGAA